CACAAAUUUUAUUAUACACCAACUCAUAAAAAUCAUACUUCUUAUAAUCUACCGUCUAAAAUAAUAUCUAAAAAAAAAAAAAUAAAAUAAAAUAAAAUAAAAUAAUAAUAAUAAUAAAAUAAUAAAACAAAUAUUAUACAAUCGAAUUUAUCGACUUAAAUGAUAAUCUAAAUCAAAUUUACAAAAAAAAAAAAAAAAAAUACAUUUAUAUAUAGUAAUAAUAAUGUGUUAAGGCACUAUAAUUAACCCAUAAUAGUAUAUAUUUUAUUAUAUUUACCUAUAUUACAUAUAUAGAUGAAAUACUAUUUUUUAUAAUUUUUUUUCAAAUGUAUAUCAUAUUAUUUAGUAUUACUAUAUAAAAACCUAAACAAAGUUCCCUAGUUUAAAAAAAAUAUAUGUAUAUAGUAUAUUAUAUUUAUAUAUUUUAUAUAUGGCAGCCGUGAAAAUCAAUAUAUACGAAUAUUUUUAUACCAAAAAAAUUCUAUCACAAUACUUUUCAUGAAAAAAAAAAAAAACAAUCAUAAUAUUACAUCGCCCGAAGUUUAAUAUUAUUACCAUUUCAAUGCGUAUUAAAGGUGCCUAUAGAUUUUUUUUUUUAAUGCGAUUUCCGGCAGUGUCCGGCCGUACGAUGAUUUCUUGAGGGGGCGGCCGGGAAGCUUUCGCCUCCCUCGUAAAAACGGACAGCGCGCGAUCGACGGGCAGGACGAGAAGACGCGCUUGAGUAAUUUUCAUAAUUUCUAAUUUUAUUGUACGCGGAGUCGCUAACCGCGUGUGUGUGUGUGUGUGGGGAGGGGGUGGGCGACGCGGAACCGAACGCGUUCGCGGGCCCACGUGGAGUUUAGCGGAAAAAAAAAACGAUCACGUCAUAAUGUAAAAAUACCGUCUACGAAAUUUGUUCGAACCGUAAAAUGUAGAAUUUUAAAUGCGCGCGACAAUCGUUUUAUUGAGGGCGGGUUACGAAUUUGUGUACGCGUGUCGGGGAGGCGUUCGCACUAGCGAAUCACCCGCGUCUCGCGGGCGUUCGUCGCGCAUAAAAGCUGGUCGCGACGUAUUUUUCAUCGACAAACGCCGUCGCCCGAUCCAAAGGCGUUAUACCCACGAAAAUGUAUACGCGCGCGUUGAAUUUUUUUUACCUGUUGUUUUUUUUUUUACGAUCCGAGCGGCCGAUUUCGCAGUGGCGCGCGGACGACGACGCCGGGGGAACGGGGCGCGCGUGUACAAUAACAUCAUCCGUUUUGGCGGGAGAGUCGGACGAAUUUUACAAGACUCCCGUGCGCAAACAUCGUAUGCGAAAACAAUAGCAAUGGACCGUUUAUCAAAACGUUGUGGUAUUUCGAUACUGACGUACGUCAGUACUGCGUGUCGGUAAACGGUAUGCUAAAGCGAUAGCCCGGUGUAAAAACGAUAAAACGUUCGAUUCGUUCACACGCCUGUACGAAUAAUAAUGAUAAUAAUGAUAAAAAAAUAAAACGUUAAGCAACUGCAAUGUCCCCGUGCCGAACGCAAACAAGAGACGCGAGACUAUACGAGAGACGAUCAUCACCGUACCGCAAUAAUAAUAAUAACAAUAAAUAAUAGACGUGACUAUAUGGAUGUAUACAACAAAAUAAUAAUGUACAGUGCUAUACGACAAUAAUGAUAAUAAUAAUAAUAAUAAUUAAUAAUCUAAACGAGACUAGUUUAAUAAAAUUAAUAAUUGAAAGGAAAUCAUUAAAACGGUGAUCGACUCUCGGACCGAGUCCGUUUGCCGCGUGCGAAAAAAACGCGAAAAUUAGAAAAAAAAUAAAACCCGAUGAGGUCGGGCGGCGGUCCGAUGUUCGCGUCGAUAAAAAAAAAAAUCAACCGGACGGGGUUUUUUUUUUCUUUCUAUUUUUCAACCCGAGUCACUUUAUGAGGGGUAAGGGGGGGGGGCAAAUAAAACGAAAAAUUCCGAAGGGGGCGACAACAAGGUAAAUUCCGCGAGGCGUUCCGACUGCACCGCCCGUGACAGUCACGCGCGCGCACUUCGCGCCUCGUCCGUCCGCGCCCGCAUUGUCGUCGCUUCGAUUGAGCUUUUUUUCUUUUUUCUACAUUUUAUAACAAUAUAAUAAUGCAUUCGUAAUGAUAUCAGUAGUGUGACAUAAUAUAUUCAUGAUAUCAUGACGUAACGUACCGUGUCAUAGACAAUCGUAACGUGACCAAGGGCGCCCGCGGGGGGGG